rnacentral:lncRNA from 1 species
GCAAAACCUUCUGAGAUCUACAGAUGAAAGGCCUCAGAGAAACACAACACAGUUAUUAAAGAGAAGUUCAUGCCUUUGUCAGCUCUUGGGAGUAAUGUGCUUUUUCAAUGUGCAGCCUCCUCUUUGGAGACCACUGGGCUGCUUUUCCAGAUGCAGAACACUCUUAAUGGGAAGAAACAUGUUUGCUUGGUUUCCUGAUCACCCUCUUGGACUUCUUCAAUUCAGCAUCAUCCUGGAUCGCCCUAUCUUCUUGUCUUUUCCCAUUGUUGAGAGAGCCUCAGGCAUCUUUGCAUGACUGGAAGCCAUGAUGUUAUGUCACUGCACAGAGAAUGACACAUACAGUUCCUGACUCUGCUUAAAGUUGUAUGGAUUCUGGGAUGUUUAUGUCUCUCUGGAUUUCAUCCUCCCAAUCUAUGAGAGGAAGACAUCAUCCAGACUGGAUCUUAAGUCCAUCCCGGAAAGUCUUCCGGGGAUCCUGAUAGCAGAAGCAGAGGGCUUACACUGGAAGAGGAAGUGUUUUGUGGGAUUCUGUGGAACUGCCUCUUCCCAGAUCAGAGGCUGCUGUGACUUUGAAUAUCCCGUCACUUGGUCCCAGGGACAGUCACAGAGAGACCUGUCUCAGCUCCUGAUCUUGUUCACAAGGCCAGGCUUCCCACUGUGCUUCAAGAGCAAUGUAAGACCCCUGGG